UUAGUAACCAGAAAAAAUAAAAAUAAAAAAACUAAAACACCCUACUUUCUCUGCUAAGGUUUUAUACCCUAUUUCAGCCGCCUAACCCCCCACCAUGCUUCCACCAUGAACGGCGGUCGGAACCUUACCCUAAAGGGCUUUUCGGCUCUUUUUCACAUGGAUCUGAAGGUCAAGGUAAUUUCCUCUUUUUGCUCUUUACUUUCCUUAUAAACAAGCAAAUAAAUAGAUUCGAAGGGCAGAAACAAAGAAAAUAAAUCACUACCUUUCCUCUAUUUUGUUUUUUCGUUCAUUGAUAUUGUAGACAUAUUUGCUUUUAUUGAUUUUUCCUCCCCCCUAAUUAUAGAAAAUGAAAUGGCUUUAUAUAGCCAGAAUCCAUCAAUUUAAAGCGAAUAAUAAAAAAUAAAUUACUAUGAUCUUCUCCUCUGUUGCCUUUUUUGUUAUUGUUGUGCUGGUGCUGUUUAGAUCCACAUUUUUUGCAGGUAUAGAGGCCGUGGAAGAGGUAUGUGCGUGGUGGUGUAGCACGCGUGAGGAAGAGGCGCGCCUGGGCGACUGUUGCGGCGCGAUGGCUGGAGCUUGCUUGGGUUUCUGAUCUUGUUUCGAUUUUGGGCCAAGAUUGUAUUGGGCUUGGGCCAUAUGGGCUGAUUGUAAUUAGGGCCUUUUACCCGGGCCAAAAUCGGGUAUUACAAUAUCCACUGAUAUGAUCAUUACAUCAUUAUUUUACAAUAUAAUAUCCUAUCUAGGGUUUAUACGAGCUUACGAAAGCUCUUUUCAUAACCCAGGUUAUUGGAGUACUAAACUGCAAAGUUUAAAACAUUUCGAGUUGGAGUCGCAACUUCAGGGGUGCGAUGUCAUAACCUCCAAAAUAGGUUGGCUUCACAACUUGAGGACUAAAAUGUAAAGUUUCUAAACUUUAUCGAAUUGGCGUCGUGAAUCAACAAGGGACGUUGCGAUGUUGAAAGCUACUAUUGUGACAUCCAUGGGGUUGUGUUGUGACUUUG
rnacentral:lncRNA from 1 species